rnacentral:rRNA from 1 species
AAUGAACGCUGGCGGCGUGCCUAAUACAUGCAAGUCGAACGCUUCACUUCGGUGAAGAGUGGCGAACGGGUGAGUAAUACAUAAGUAACCUGGCAUCUACAGGGGGAUAACUGAUGGAAACGUCAGCUAAGACCGCAUAGGUGUAGAGAUCGCAUGAACUCUAUAUGAAAAGUGCUACGGGACUGGUAGAUGAUGGACUUAUGGCGCAUUAGCUGGUUGGUAGGGUAACGGCCUACCAAGGCGACGAUGCGUAGCCGACCUGAGAGGGUGACCGGCCACACUGGGACUGAGACACGGCCCAGACUCCUACGGGAGGCAGCAGUAGGGAAUGUUCGGCAAUGGGGGAAACCCUGACCGAGCAACGCCGCGUGAAGGAAGAAGUAAUUCGUUAUGUAAACUUCUGUCAUAGAGGAAGAACGGUGGAUAUAGGGAAUAAUAUCCAAGUGACGGUACUCUAUAAGAAAGCCACGGCUAACUACGUGCCAGCCGCCGCCGUAAUAC